rnacentral:rRNA from 1 species
UGGAUCCAGACUUUGAUCAUGGCUCAGGAUGAACGCUGGCGGCGUGCCUAACGCAUGCAAGUCGAACGGAGUUCUUAAGGAAUGCGACUUCGGUCAAAUGACUUUUGAACUUAGUGGCGGACGGGUGAGUAACGCGUGAGCAACCUGCCUUUCAGAGGGGGAUAACAUUUGGAAACAGAUGCUAAUACCGCAUAAGAUUACAGUACCGCAUGAUACAGUGAUCAAAGGAGCAAUCCGCUGAAAGAUGGGCUCGCGUCCGAUUAGAUAGUUGGUGAGGUAACGGCUCACCAAGUCGACGAUCGGUAGCCGGACUGAGAGGUUGAACGGCCACAUUGGGACUGAGACACGGCCCAGACUCCUACGGGAGGCAGCAGUGGGGAAUAUUGCACAAUGGGCGAAAGCCUGAUGCAGCAACGCCGCGUGAGGGAAGACGGUUUUCGGAUUGUAAACCUCUGUUUUCGGUGACGAACAAAUGACGGUAACCGAGUAGGAAGCCACGGCUAACUACGUGCCAGCAGCCGCGGUAAUACGUAGGUGGCAAGCGUUAUCCGGAAUUACUGGGUGUAAAGGGAGCGCAGGCGGGAUAGCAAGUCAGCUGUGAAAACUAUGGGCUCAACCCAUAAACUGCAGUUGAAACUGUUAUUCUUGAGUGGAGUAGAGGCAAGCGGAAUUCCGAGUGUAGCGGUGAAAUGCGUAGAUAUUCGGAGGAACACCAGUGGCGAAGGCGGCUUGCUGGGCUCUAACUGACGCUGAGGCUCGAAAGUGUGGGGAGCAAACAGGAUUAGGUACCCUGGUAGUCCACACUGUAAACGAUGAUUGCUAGGUGUGGGGGGUCUGACCCCCUCCGUGCCGGAGUUAACGCAGUAAGCAAUCCACCUGGGGAGUACGGCCGCAAGGUUGCAACUCAAAGGAAUUGACGGA